CAAAAGGGGAGGGUGCUUUCUCUCAAGCCUAUCUCAGUUUUGAGCUUUCUCGAGCUGCAGGGAGCCGAAUGGCGCACUAAUUUAAGAGUUAACGUUUAGACAUCUCCUUUAUAUUUUCGUGGAUUUUACUAAUUUCCUGAAAACUUUCUGCGGGACGAGACGACUUGUGCACGGUGUAGGAAAGGGAGGAUCCUCCCUUGCAGCUCGUGACAGCACUGCCGGGAUACAAACUUUGCGCUUCGUGCAGAAAACGUCUAGAUUGACUGGGCCAUUAAUUAACAGGUCCUGAGUCAAUAGGACGGCGUUUCCUUGCUGGUAACAGUUGGGAUAUUUAAUGAUGUUGGACGGUAUAAAAAUUGAAGACCAUCCGCUGCGGUCGGGACAGGCUACGCUUGGAGUUAUGCUGGGGACGGAGUGCCAUCACCAGGCGGUGUGUGAGGGGUGCCAGCGGCCGAUAUCCGACCGCUUUCUGAUGCGCGUCAACGAAUCUUCAUGGCACGAGGAGUGUUUGCAAUGCGCCGUGUGUCAACAACCGCUCACCACCAGCUGCUACUUCCGGGAGAGGAAACUUUACUGCAAACACGACUACCAACAGUAAGGGCAUGGAUUAUUGGAAAGAUUGGUGUCAGGCAUCCGGGUUCAUUGCUUCUGGUUGACUUGUUUUUAUUCAACUGUGAUCAAGCAAAUAAAAAGUGACGAAUCUUUCGUUUUUACGCUCUAACACUCACAAUAUCUCCGUUCGUAAAGUUGGACUGAAUGGUGGCGUUGACGGUAUGAUUUCGGUGAACUUGUCAUCAUCUUAAAAUUCUGUUGGUUUUACAGUUGUGACGCCAAGUGCAUUGUGGUAUUGUUGAAGAACUGUCUUUAUAAUUAUUAGGCAUUUAUGCAAGUUACAGCUAUAAUUAAAUUAGUUAUUGCUUUGUGUAAUUCCAAACUGAGACGCGUCAGUCCUGUGAUUUAGUGAGUGAUAGUUUGGC